UGGGGAAUUGUUCACAAUGGGCGCAAGCCUGAUGACGCAACGCCGCGUGGGGGAUGAAGUAUUUCGGUAUGUAAACUUCGAAAGAAUAGGAGGAAUAAAUGACGGUACUAUUUAUAAGGUCCGGCUAACUACGUGCCAGCAGCCGCGGUAAUACGUAGGGACCAAGCGUUGUUCGGAUUUACUGGGCGUAAAGGGCGCGUAGGCGGCAUGACAAGUCACUUGUGAAAUCUCUGGGCUUAACCCAGAACGGCCAAGUGAUACUGUCGCGCUAGAGUGCAGAAGGGGCAAUCGGAAUUCUUGGUGUAGCGGUGAAAUGCGUAGAUAUCAAGAGGAACACCUGAGGUGAAGACGGGUUGCUGGGCUGACACUGACGCUGAGGCGCGAAAGCCAGGGGAGCAAACGGGAUUAGAUACCCCUGUAGUCCCUGAGCGGGCUGGCAAGGCGCAU
rnacentral:rRNA from 1 species